CAUAAUAUAACAUAAACUAAAUACCAUAAUAAAACAUAAACCAAAAUAUUCUAAAAUGAAAAACAUCACACUAAGGUACCGUUUGGUUCGGGUAUAAGAUAGAACUGCUAGUUCCAGGGAUAGGUAUAAAUAUUGGAACUAGCUAGAACUAGUGUAUUUUUGUGUUUGGUUGAGUAUUAGAUUUGUACCAGGUAUAAGAAAAAUAGUGUUUGAAUGUAUAAGAUAGAAUAAGAGGAAUAAAGUAUGAAAGGGAUUAAAAAUAGGUAACAAAAAUUAAUUAAAUAAAUAAUGAAUUACAAUAUUGUUAAAAAACAUUACUAAUUAUUUAAUGAAUAUUUUUUUGUCAACUUGCGCUCGUUAGAAUUAAAUUAUACUUCUCGAAAAAAUAAAUUUAAACUUUUAUACUGCAAUAAGAUUUAUAACAAACUUACCAAAUUAAUAACUAUAGUAAAAUAAAGAAACAUUCAAACCUUUUCAUACACAUGUUAUAUACCAUUUGUUACAAACACUGUCUUUCCACCUUUUACAUACAUUUCAAUCCAUAUUGCAUACAACAUAUUA
rnacentral:lncRNA from 1 species